UCCUCACCAGUGCCAUAUAUUUAGAGAGUCACGACACUCCCAUAGGGAUCCAUUAUACGAUUUUACUUCCGGGUACUUCCGGGUUAUGGAGCCUUGGAUAGUUACAAACAUCGCAUUUGACAUGGCGGACACCAUUCAUUUGAACGGCAGGCUGUCAAGUAUAUUCGGUGAGGCCCUUUGUGACAUAAACUUAUCUCUUUGAUGCACAUGGAUUGAAUUCUCAAUCGCAGCCUAAUCUGCUCCACAACAUUGGAGGAUUCCAUGAGGGAAUCAUUCGUUGCCAAACGGAACAGCUGCUCGACAUCCUUUAAGAGAGUGAAGACCUCAUCCGAUGGCCGGUGCUUCAACCAAUGCACACUGGCAUUGGUUGCAGAGUGAGAAGCUGAUGACCCUCUUCACUAUGCAUCCUGCCAGAUGUUGCCAUUUUGCCUGACAGCGUGGUCCCUGGCGCAUCUGGGCCUAGUGUUGUGGCGCCACCGCUGGUUCCUGAUUGGUCGGCACCCGGCUCAUCCACCCCUGGAUCACCUGGCCUGGAUACGUCAUUGUCAUUGUGCUCACUUUCGCCCAACCUUACCACCUCAAUUUCUCCCUGAAUGUCUGUAACAAUAACAAGGCAUUCUUAAUUUUAUAUGCAGUCAGUGUUUUUACAUUUGCACCUAUUGUCAUCUCCAAAGUAAGGGUACACUACACUCCUAAAGGGAAAAAAAAAAAAUAACGGACAUUACUGUUACAUGAAUCAAAUCAUCUGCCACAAUCAGAAACUGCUAUGGCAUUGCCAUGUGUCAACAGUCUGGUGAUAUCAUGGAGUUGGUUCUGCUUUGCUGUUGUAUCCACCAGAAAUGUUUAGUUAUAGGUGAAAAUUAAAUGCAUAAAUAAAGCUAAAUUAUGAAGUAACAAACAAUGAAGUAGAUCGAAAUUUUGUGUGUAAAUCCCAGGACAAUUCCUGACCUCUUGUAUUUGAAGCUGAAUGUAUUAAUAUGAAAAAUGUAAUUAUCUUAUUAGGAGUGUAGUUUAUCCUUGAAUUACUUGGCAUGGGAAAUGUUGUUGACAGCUGGUCUGUAUCAUACCCAAGUUUAACCUGGUGCAAUAUGUAUGGUCUGUUUGAAUUUUGGUUGGAGGCACACUCCUAAAGGGAAGUUUACUCCUCUUUGGCUUCGAACGAUGAAUGAAAAUGGUUGGGACAGCAUCUGGCCUCAAUUUUAAUGUGUGCCCUACUUUGGUUGGCGUAAACUGGUCCUCGUCAAAGUGUUCCUGAUGUUUGGUUCGCAAGAUCAGUUUCCAUUCUACUUAAAAUUUAAAAAAUUUUUUAAAAGUCAUAAUACCGUGACUUACAUGACAGUUUAUAGUUGUUGCUGGCCCCCUUCAAUUUCAAGAUUUUUACGGCUGACCAUUGCCAGCCAUCGUUUCUGCCGGUCUUUGUCCUUCGGGAAACCAUACAUUCGGUAGCCCUUUUCGGACCGAUUGGUGCAUCCAAAAGCUGCACAACCAACCAUCACGAUCUCUAAAAUGUUAGGUGUGAGCACUGAAUCAUGACACCAAUUUUACCUAUUUAAUAAAAAUAAAUAUUACUGUAAUAUUAAAUAUUUUCUUUAUCAAAGGGUAAUACGUUAUGUAAUAUAUUACCACAGGUAAGUAUCAAGAAAAUCUGGGCAUUCUCUGGAAAAACAGUAUUCUAGUUGUGGGGGGGAAAAAUCCAUCUUGCAUUUCAAUGUAUAAGUUGAUUUCCAAUGCUAUUGCUAACACAAACAUGAAACUCCCUCCAAGACAUGGGAACUUUCCCUUCUGUGUAACAGUUUACAUAGUUUUCAGUUGUUGCCUUACCACUCCAAAUGUAAAACUAGCAUUUAUAAACACUAUAGUGCAAUGACAUAAUCAAACAAGUACUUAAAAUACGUGAUUUUAUCUAUUUUUACCAUAAAUGGACCAAUCACCGCUAUCUGGUUCAUGGAAUACUAUUACAGCGCUGCUUGUGUUUGUAACUAUACACGUGACCACCCGCGGCGACAUAUGAGUGUGUCGCAACUCUCUAAAUAUAUGGCACUGCUCCUCACUAGCCACUUGUGGGGCCUGCGCUUGACAGUGACGUUGCUUGUUCUCGCUAUAUGAUUGGCCGAUGAGUCGAAAUGCUCUCCUGUGAAAUGCCUGUUUAAAAAUGUUCCUGUUGUUACUUCUUGAGUCAUAGUAAUGCGUUCGCUUGAAAGUGCCCAUUUAAAAAUGCGUAUGUAAAGCGAUCGAUGAUACCACACACAGAGCGUAUUAACAAAUGUUAAAGUUGUAUAAAAAGAGCAAACGUCUGCGCACACAUCUCUCGUGUUUUAAUUUUUUCUUUUUUAUUAACAACAACAUGACAGAACAAACAACAAUACAAACACAAAACAGACAAUAAUACAAAAAAAAAAAAAAAAAAAAAAAAAAAAAACACAAACAUGCCAGGGGGUAUAAACAUUCCAAACAUUGCACACCAGAGAAAAAAAAAAAAAAAAAAACAAUGAAUAAUACUAUAAGCAACUAUUCACAAAAAAGUGGAAGCUUUUCACAAAUAUCAAUGAUUUUUUUCCGCUUUCCUAUUCUUUGACUUUUUUAACAGAUUUAUGUAGCAUACCGUUUCAUUGUGAAAGUGAGAAAAAGAUGGUAACAGCUUGCUAAACUUACAUUUGUGGAGGUAGAACUCAUCUGUCUCGUGUUAGAGGACAUUCUCACAGUCGGCGUGAUGUCACGAUGACGUCAUCUAGCAUAGCAACGUGUCGCCAUUUUGAGAAGGGGGCACGCACAGGUAAACAUCCGUAUACAAACGUUUGAAAUUCAUAUAUUUCAGCUGUUUUGCGUCUUUCUUUCAUAAAAACGUCUUAAACAUAUUAUCACGAGUCACUGCAGACAGACGCGAGGAGGCGAUACAACUUAAAAUUAGCGUGUAUUGGCUUGCAAAUCUAUCCAGCUAUCAGCUGCGACUUUAUAUGGGCAAACAAUCCAAAGGAAUGGCCUGCAGUGGAGUUCGGAAACAUCUAUAACUACCUCAUAAAGUCACCCAUUAAGUUGACCUUUAUCAAUUCUAGGCAUUUUUUGUUUUUAAACAAAUGAAAAUAAACGGUAAGGUAUUUUAAUUAA